GGUGGCAAGAGCCACAGCUUAAAAAAAAAAAAAAAAAAAAAAGAAGGAAGGAAUAAAAAUGAAAGAAAAAAAAGGCAAGCAAGCAAAGCCUUCUCCUACUCUGGUGCCCGGUGGAAAGGGCACAGGACGACCGCCUGGAGAAAUGACCUCCCUUGCACCGCCGCGCUGGCUUCCCGGUCAGGGAGUCUUCCCCACAAGGACACAUUGAGGAGGAAGCUGCCAUUCUCCCGGUCCGUGUUGUCUAGCCAGCGGCCCUCGGCGCGGGGCCGGCGCGGCGGCUCAGACCCCGGGGACCGCGCGCCGCGGGGGCUCCGCCAGGCCCUACGCGCCGGCCGAGCCGCAGGGCGCCGGGAGGCCAUUUUGCGCGUGCGCCGCUUGCCUCGCGCCGGCCUGGGUUCGGCCGAUUCGGAUCCCGCCAAAUUUGAAAGCGAGAUUCUCAGGCCCCGCUGGCUGGGGACGCGGCGGAAAAAAAGGAAGACGUUUCUCCAAAGUCGGAACCUGUGGCAAGGCGGGGGGGUGGGGAGCGGCGACAGCGGGGUGCGCGCGCCUCACGAGGCGGCCGCCUCCCUGACGAGGGCUGGCCCACCGGGCGAGACCUCCGCAGCCUGCCGCGCGGCGGAGGCGCGGAGACCCGGCCUCGGGCCUCGAGCUCGGCGCGGGCGGAAAGGCGGCCCACGUCCGGGGAGGCCGCGGCGUCGCCCGCCGAGCCCGCCGACGCUCGUCCGUGCGUUGCACCCCCUCCUCCUCCCGCUUCGAAUGCUACGCCCUUUCUCCUUCAAGAAAGGGGUGUCCUUGCAAUUGGAGCUUUUAUUGGAUAGAUCGCAAACUCCGUUACUAACAAAACAUCAAGCUGCCAUCUUGAAGGUUCCCGAAGGCCGCGCUUCGAGGGCGGUGACUGGGAAGGCGGGUGGGAGAGGGUCCUCCGGUCGGGCCCGGGUCCCCUGGGGCUUAGUCGGUGACGCUGCCCAGGGCGGGGGUGGCUUCGCGGGAGCAAUCUCGCGGUCUGGGCACAGGCCCACACGUGGGGCCCCAAGGCGACGCCUAACCAGGCCUGGGGGCCAGGCGACCCUGGGAGGCCGGAGACUGGAGGCCGCCGCCCCGCGCCCUCGCGCCCCGCGGCCGGGGAGAGCGCGGCGGCCCGACGCUGGGAUGUCGCCUCCGAAAGACGCUGGCUCGCCGCCGCCGGUUCCCGACAGAGCCUGCGCCCGCCGGGUGCCCGGGGCGCGAGCGCUCCCCUGA
rnacentral:lncRNA from 1 species